GAAUAUUGGACAAUGGGCGAAAGCCUGAUCCAGCCAUGCCGCGUGUGUGAAGAAGGCCUUUUGGUUGUAAAGCACUUUAAGCGAGGAGGAGGCUACCGAGAUUAAUACUCUUGGAUAGUGGACGUUACUCGCAGAAUAAGCACCGUCUAACUCUUUGCCAGCAGCCGCGGUAAUACAGAGGGUGCAAGCGUUAAUCGGAUUUACUGGGCGUAAAGCGCGCGUAGGUGGCAAAUUAAGUCAAAUGUGAAAUCCCCGAGCUUAACUUGGGAAUUGCAUUCGAUACUGGUUGGCUAGAGUAUGGGAGAGGAUGGUAGAAUUCCAGGUGUAGCGGUGAAAUGCGUAGAGAUCUGGAGGAAUACCGAUGGCGAAGGCAGCCAUCUGGCCUAAUACUGACACUGAGGUGCGAAAGCAUGGGGAGCAAACAG
rnacentral:rRNA from 1 species